CUGACACAAGGGCAUGGAAAAUGGCGGGGGCAUUUUGUGUUGAAGAAUGAAAUGUGAUGUUAACACAAUAGCAGACUGCUCCAUAAAACUGACAGGAAAUCAAUCCCCUAAUCUACACGCAAUUCCGCCCGGAGACGAUCCCGCUAUUUCGGAUGGCUGCAGCGUCUUUUCCCGGGACUGACACACCCACAGUUCAAAUCAAUAAAUCUGAUACACGCUUGUCCUCAGAUGGUCUGAAAUUAUCAAAUGUUGCUUCCACAGAGAUGAAUUCGAUUCUUCUUUCUUUCGCUUCUAAAAUACGACGAGGAGGACAAAUUAUGAGGAGGUACGUGCGUAAAAUGUUUUCAACAAGAAGUAAACAAAAAUAUUUGUUUAGCUGCUGUUCAUUAGCAAAUAGGCUACUGUAGGCUAUCACACGAAGUAGCCUUAAUGAUUAGGUGUGCAAUCCACCACAAAAACAUCUGAGACUCAACGAAAUAAUUUCAUGGCGAUGUUAAAAUGCACAUUAAUGCAACAAACUUGUAGUGUCGUGCCAAGGGGAUAACCAAACUUCACUGGUAAUUAGCCUACUGAUUAUUUUAAUCCAAUGUUGGCUACUGUGAGGCGAUUCCGCGCAAUCUGCGUGUGAUAAACUUCAGCACAGCCAAUAAAGAUGUCACAGUAGCUAUCUUGCUAGCUAACUUGUGUAAACUCCCCUCGGUGCCGGCUACAGGUGCCGCAGCAGUUGCAGUCUUGCGGGUGGAGUUGGGUAUGUGUUAAAUGGACUGUAAACGUGAUAUAUUCUUUCAGUUUCUGGAUUGGGCUAGAAUACCUCACGCUCCGUGCAAUCAAAUUGCUGAGUCUCCAUACAUACCGAUAAUUGUUUUAAACGAUGGCAACAUAUAGUGUUAACUACGAUUUCAAGAGGCGGAGCAGCUCAGACAAUAGACAUAAAUACAGCUAGUUUCAUACUAACAUACCCCAAUGCAAAGCUGCAUUUCCCGCGGAUCCACAACAAGAAAUCCCGAGGCUGGCUCAAGUGGGCCUGGUCCUUAGAGGGUUAAGCCGUAAUCCUCGUGCGGACACAGUCAACCGUUUGAAACACGUUAGUUACGAUCUUAAAAGUUUCCGACGAAAAUAAAGAUAAAAAGAUCCAAGCGAAAUCAGCUUCACUCGAGAGACCUCCGCCUGGGGGACAUGCUUGGACGACUGAACUUGGAGUGGUAGUAAAAGGAUGUCUUUUCCCAACAUAGGCACAAGCAAGCCCCGAUAUUUUGACGUCUACUGAAGGAAUGCAUAAUGUGAGCUAGAUAUCACAUAUCUAGGUAUCGCAGAUACGUGUCUAAGUGGAUGUAUUUGCCUUAAAAAUAAUUGUUUUAAAAUUGUAUGGAACGUGUCAUCAUUUUUGGUCAUUUAUAUCCUAAUGGAUGAUUCAGGAUAUAAUGCAUAUGUAUACCCAUUUGAAAUAAUCACGUGC